GAAUAACUCAGGUGGUAGAGUAACUGAUUCGUAAUCAGUAAGCCGAGGGUUCGAAUCCCUUUUCC
rnacentral:tRNA from 1 species